rnacentral:lncRNA from 1 species
GCACCAGUAGUCCCAGCUACUCAGGAGGCUGAGGUGGGAGGAUUGCUUGAGCCCAGGAGUUCAAGGUGAACACAGUGAGCUAUGACCAUGCCACUGCCCUCCAUACUGGGGCAACAGAGUGAGGCCCAGUCUCUUAAAAAAAAAAAUGUAAUCUAUGCCCAUUUAAAAAAUAUUAGAAAAACAAAAAAAUAAAAAUUGGGGAAAUCACCUGUGAUAGUAUCACUCAAAGAUACCUACUUUUAAAUAGCUUGAUAUAUUUAUUUCUUUUAUCUAUCUUACUAUUUCAAUAUAAUUAUGAUCAGAAUGUAUUAUAACGUAUCUUGUUUUACCAUUAAUUUUAAAUUCAGGUGCUGUAUUGUAUAGAUUAACCUUUGAAUACCACAUAAAUAUAUGUUAACCCUUGAAUGUGACAGAAGCCAGUCCCCAUCUGUGAUAUUUCAAAUGACAGACUAGAAUCACUUUUCAUCCCCACUGCAGAAGAUAGCUAUCAUAUUUAUUUCAACAAUGGGAACUUGUUUUCUUAUUUUGAGGGCCAGCCACAUUCAAUUAUAGAUCUUUCAUCAGUAGCCAUACCUUUACUACAACCUUGGUUUUUCUUAUCACAAAUUAUUGAAUAAUACCUGUAAUAGUUUAGGCAAACGACAACUGUAAUAAUAAAUAAAAUUUACAGAAUUGAUUCUUCAUACUGCAUGGUUCUUAGAUUAGACCAGAAGUCAAGGUGAACAAAGAGUGCAUAUAAUCUAAUAAAUUAUUGAUUUAUUUCUUGUUAAAAUUUUAGAUAAGAAAAAGAAAAAAAUACUUAUAAUUCCCUACAUUAAAAAUUCAUCAUAUGCCCCCUAGUCUUUUUUUUCUGUUUGUAGAAUUUUUCCUUUAAAAAAAAAAAAAAAAGAAUUUGCUAUGUAGAAAUUGACCCUUUAUUCUAUUAGCAGUAGAUCCAUGAGCAUUUUCAUGCCACUAAAUAUUCAUCUUAAAUAUACUUAAAUUUUUUACAAUUUUCCAUUAUCCUAUACAUUAUUUACUCCUCCAUUAUUACUCAUGUUAUAUUGUCUCCAGGAUUGGGCAUCAUAAAGAAUACUUUUGUCGGCCCAGCACAGUGGCUCAUGCCUGUAAUCCCAGCACUUUGGGAGGCUGAGGUGGGCAGAUCACCUGAGGUCAGGAGUUCAAGACCAGCCUGAUCAACAUGGUGAAACUCCUU